AGCUUGAACGAGAUAUUAUAGUGAUGCAUUUAGCACAGUGCCCAACACACACCAAGUGUUCAGUGAAGCCUGGUCCUCAUUCUGGCCACCACUUUAUAAGUGACCUCAGGAUGAUUUCUAGAGGGUCAGGAACUUGCUGACCGUCACGCCAUCAGUUUGUUGCGUGAGCUGGGCCCUUCUUCCUCCCAGUGGGAACGCCUUUCCACUCUGCCUUUGUGGAUGGACCUAAUGACCGCCUGAACGCACAGCAGACCAUCAGGAAAUAGUUGUGACUGAUUCAUCUGUAUGCUCCAUAACCGAGCUGGAGAUGGGCCAUUUCAUUCUGGUCUCUGGAUUUUGGCUGCGUUUUCUCUCAUAGCAGGAAUUACGGCAGAAAGAUGGAAUGGAGGAAGAUGAAAACGCUCAGCUUUGCUCCCCGCUCCCUCUGAAGAGGCGUGUGAUCAGGGCCGAAGCAGGAGCACUGGCCCUCCUGGUGGGCACUCGCUGGGCUGUCGCCUUAAGCUUCCUUAUGACCACGGGAGACUGACACUCCUUCUUCCCCGUGCCUCUCUUCCUCUUGGUUCCAUCACAGUUUUAGGGCACGUAGCUGAAGCUUCACGGGUGGGAGAAAGAAGCAGUGCCACUCUGCACGAGUCGGAGUGUGGGUGUCAUUUUUGUUCUGAUAGGAGGAGGGAUCACCAUGUCUCCUUUCCGACUGAGGCUGCCCAGAGCCCUGGGUGCUGCUGUGGAUUCGCUCACCCUCAGUCCUGUGACCUCGGACACAGCAGCUCGGGUAGGAAUGUUAGUUUCCACGUCUGCAAAAUAAGGAGUAGGGGUGAGACUUAGAGGAACUCUCAAGUCCCUUUUGGCCUCAAAGUUCCAUGAUUCUGGCAGUCUAAAGGGGGUGUGUUUGAUAGCUCCUAACUGCAACCAUCUUCUGUCUCUCUUUCCCUUUUUAGCCUGUACCUCCAUCCAUCUAUCCACUUACCCCUCCUUCAUCUACCCUCCCACCUAUUCAUCCAUCCAUCCACCCACCCACCCAUCCAUCCAUCUAUACACCUAUCCACUCACCCAUUCCCCCAUCUACCCAACCACCCACUCAUCUAUAUGCCUAUCUACUUAUCUACACACCUAUCCACCCACCCAUCUUCCCACCUAUCCAUCCAUCCAUCCACCCACCCACCCACCCAUCCGCCCAUUCAUCUAU
rnacentral:lncRNA from 1 species